rnacentral:rRNA from 1 species
GAUGAACGCUAGCGGCAGGCCUAAUACAUGCAAGCCGAACGGCAAGAACUUUAGCAAUAGAGUUCCUAGAGUGGCGUAAGGGUGCGUAACACGUAUGCAAUCUGCCCUCAACAGGAGGAUAGCUCCCCGAAAGGGGAAUUAAGACUCCAUAAGAUCAUUUUAUGGCAUCAUGAGAUGAUUAAACUACCAGGGGUUGAGGAUGAGCAUGCGCAUGAUUAGUUAGUUGGCGGGGUAACGGCCCACCAAGACGAUGAUCAUUAGGGGAACUGAGA